rnacentral:rRNA from 1 species
UACGGGGGGGCAAGCGUUGUUCGGAAUUACUGGGCGUAAAGGGCUCGUAGGCGGCCAACUAAGUCGGAUGUGAAAUCCCCAAGCUUAACUUGGGAACUGCAUCCGAUACUGGAUGGCUUGAAUCCGGGAGAGGGAUGCAGAAUUCCAGGUGUAGCGGUGAAAUGCGUAGAUAUCUGGAGGAAUACCGGUGGCGAAGGCGGCAUCCUGGACCGGCAUUGACGCUGAGGAGCGAAAAGCUAGGGGAGCAAACGGG